GAUGAACGCUGGCGGCGUGCCUAAUACAUGCAAGUCGAGCGAACGGACGAGAAGCUUGCUUCUCUGAUGUUAGCGGCGGGCGGGUGAGUAACACGUGGAUAACCUACCUAUAAGACUGGGAUAACUUCGGGAAACCGGAGCUAAUACCGGAUAAUAUUUUGUACCGCAUGGUUCAAAAGUGAAAGACGGUCUUGCUGUCACUUAUAGAUGGAUCCGCGCUGCAUUAGCUAGUUGGUAAGGUAACGGCUUACCAAGGCAACGAUGCAUAGCCGACCUGAGAGGGUGAUCGGCCACACUGGAACUGAGACACGGUCCAGACUCCUACGGGAGGCAGCAGUAGGGAAUCUUCCGCAAUGGGCGAAAGCCUGACGGAGCAACGCCGCGUGAGUGAUGAAUGUCUUCGGAUCGUAAAACUCUGUUAUUAGGGAAGAACAUAUGUGUAAGUAACUGUGCACAUCUUGACGGUACCUAAUCAGAAAGCCACGGCUAACUACGUG
rnacentral:rRNA from 1 species